AUCAGCCCGGGGGUCCGGGCCCGGACGAGGGAGCCGUACCCGGCGUUGCGACAAGACGGCCAGG
rnacentral:ncRNA from 1 species